ACCCGCUCCCCAUUCACAAUAACUUUACGGGAGCCGGGCAGCGCACCUCCCCGGCCGCUGGGGCGCGGUACGCCCGGCGACUAGCGCCACCAGUGAAAAGAAUGUAAGGUCACAUAGCCUGUACCAUUUCAGGGAGGCAUUGUCUAACCUGGAGGUGUGGUUCCCAGGGACCCUCCCAAAUACACUUCCAAUCUGUUUCUGGAGGACCUGACCUGUAACUCCUGACAAUAUGUUCUGAAUGCUGAAGGAUGGAGAUACACUUUGGACCAAUGGACUCAAGCCCCUCAUUCAAAGAAAACACCAGAAGAGACUUGGUGUUUUGUGAAAUGGCACAUUCCAAAAUCUCUGUCACUGAGAAAAGGAUGUAAGCUCAGGAUCAAAGCAUCGUCUUCAAAGAAGGAGGGACAGAUGGGGCUGUGUCUCCCACUAGGACCUACACUCUUGGUGAUAUUCUGAAUAAGGAAGAGCGGCCAGAUGCUGGACAGUGAAGGCAAACUUCCAUCAUGCUUCUUCCUCAUCUUUCAAAGAGUCCAAGACAGGGACUCAUAUGCCUGCACUGUUAUUCUGAGUUAGCCUCUUGCUCUCAUUGCUGGUUAAGCUGGAGUCCUUAGUUCUGGCUUUGAUAGUGAGCUCAUCCUUCAUAUUCAACACAUUACCAAGUUCAACCAUCAACAUUUACUUCCACCACAGUUCACUUCUGCCCUUCUCUAUUUCCAUACCCCUAGUCCAGAAGUUCUCAAGCUUUAGGGUACAUGAUAAUCAACUGGAGGAGUUGUUAAUAUACCUAUCUCUGGCUCUCAUCCUCAGAGUUUCUUUCUUAAAACUUAUUUUUAGAGACAAGGUCUGGCUCUGUCUCUAAAAAUAAGGCUAGAGUGCAUUUGCAAGAUCACGGAUCACUGCCACCUUGACCUCCCAGAGUAAAGCAAUCCUCCUGUCUCAGCCUCCUGAGUAGCUGGGACUACAGGUGUGAACCAUCACACUUAUUUUUGUCUAGAUGGGGUCUCAGUAUGUUGCCCAGGCUGGUCUUGAACUCUUGGGCUCAAGUGAUCCUCCUGCCUUGGCUUCCUAAAGUUUUGGGAUUACAGGUGCCAGCCAUUGUGCCUGGUCUCUCUCAGAGUUUCUGAUUCAGUGGGUCUGGGGUAGGGCCUGAGAAUUUGCGUUUAUAAUAAGUUGCUGGAUGCUGCUGCUGCUGGUCCAGGGGCCCCACUUUGAGAACCACUUUCUUGGUCUGAGCCAUCAUCAUCACUUAUUUGGACUAUCACUUUGGCUUCCUAACUAAUCUACUUCCACUUUUACCUGCAUUCUCCUUACAGCAGCCAGAAUGAUCUUUCAGAAGUGUAAAUCAUAUCAUGUCUUUCCCUGAUUAAAACUUUUCAGCGGCUUCUGAUCCCCUCCUUAACAUGGUCUGUGAGGCCCUGCAAGACUUAGCUUCUGCCAGCUCCACAAACCCACCUCACCAGCUUCAGCUACUCUGCCUUCUGUUCUCCCACCUCUGGAAUGCUUGACCUUCUAGGGGAGACUGGCUGGCCCUUUCUCAUCCUUGAAGAUUAAGCUCAGAUAUUACCCUCUUCUAAGGCAAUCCUUGAACACCCAGUCUGAAGUGGCCUCACCCUUGUUUUUUCCCUUCAUUGUAGUUAUCACAAUAUUAAUUAUCUUAUGUAUUUGUUAUUCUAUUUAUUGCUGUCUCUUCCACUAAGAUUGUAAGUUCCUUGAGGGCAGGGUCCUUGUCUUCUCAGUCUUCCUAGCACCUUCUAUAGUGUCUGGCACAGCAGUAAGAACUCAAUAAAUAUUUGGGGAAUAAAUGUAUCUGUAUUUGCUUGAAAUGGACAAGUGAUAUGGUUUGGCUCUGUGUCUCCAACCAAAUGUCAUGUUGAAUUGUGAUUCCCAGUGUUGGAAGAGGGACCUGCUGGGAGGUGAUUGGAUCAUGGGGGCAGAUUUCCCCCUUGUUGUUCUUGUGAUAGUGAGUGAGUUCUCAUGAGAUCUGUUGGUUUAAACACGUGUGGCACUUCCCUCUUUGUGCUCUCUCUCUCACUCUCUCUCUCUUCCUCCCUCCCUCCCUCUCCUCUGCCACCAGAUGACGACAUACUUGCUUCCUCUUCACCCUUCUGCCGUAAUUGUAAGUUUUUUGAGGCCUCCCAACCAUGCUUUAUGCUUUCUGUACAGCCUGAGGAACUGUGAGUCAAUUAAACCUCUUUCCUUCAUAAAUUACCCAGCUCAGGUAGUUCUUUAUAGCAGUGUGAGAACAGACUAAUACAACAAGGUUCACGUAUUUUUCCUGUAAGGCCCCCAAAGUUCUGCAUACAUCAGUGGAUGCAAAUAGAUGCUUUGAGGAGGAAUAUCACCAUCUCCAGCUGUCAGGCUGAUCGAGUCUGAUUGGCACCCACUAGGAUUUCCCUUACACAUGUAACAUGUGGGCUGCUGGAGGCAAAGGUAAUGUUUAGUAGACCUCAUUCCUCAUAUCAGAUCCAACCUUCCUUGUCAUCUCUUCUGACUGUCUUUCUGUUUCUGCUGGUUUGCUCAGAGCCUGUCACUGCAGCACCUAAUCAGGCCGAUCUCUUUAGCACUGACCUAGUCUGGUGUUGGACUUCUCUCCUUGUUAUCAAAACAUACCUCCCUCUUUCCUCAGUUCAUGAAGUUGGAAGACACUUCUCUGCUACUGUGUGGUGAUGGGGGCGUUAGUGGGGUAAACAGUUUAACUGUUUUAACUUCAUUCGUGGUUAAGAGGUACCAGGGGCCCUCUGAUAAUAAAACACAGCUAAGAUGUAUCUAAGGCUUAUAGAAAGCAACAAUAAACCAUUUUUGACUGUGCAGGAAUUUAAGUUUUUAUAUAAGAAUAUACUUCAUUUUGGAUUUUGUACAAAGAUUUAACAUGUUGAAAUUUUAAAAUAUUAUUUGAAUAGUAAGGUUGUGAAAUCAUACAAAGUGAAAUUUAAAAGAUCCUGAAAAACAAGUUGGAAAAUAGCUUUAUAUUGAUCAGCCGAGAGUUUGACAUUUGCCUCUUUGACAUGGCAUAUACUGAUGCAAUAGGAAACAUUGCAUUACCACACAAAAAAAGUUUAUUUACAGACCUCAGAGUUGCAUUCAGUAACAUUCUUGGCCAAGAUCAAAACGUGGAACGUUUUUUCCAUUCAGAAAAGCAGAAUCACUUAGCCUGAGUCAUGACUGCCCACUUUUUCCCAUAUGGUUGAAAUACUGUCUGUUGGCUGAGGUUGACAAUUUAAAGACUUUGUGGCUGAUUAGUUCUAACUAUGGUAGCAAUUGAGAAAGGUAACGUUAGGUACUAUUAAGAAGGAGAUAUCUGGCUUGUUGAAAAAUACAAAUCAAACACUGUAGCAAAUAUUUGGUAAGGGAGAAAAAAGCUGAAAUAAUGAAAACUGGCUGGCAUCCCCAGUACCUCUCUCCCCAUCCAAUAAUCACAAAUCCCCCUGAUUCUUUCUUUGUCUGGCUCUUAGAGUUAACACAUUCUAUCUGUUUUAAAAGUUCACACCCUAGUCUGGUGCCUGGCAUUGAUUCAAGCUUCUCUGCCUCAUGGCUAUUGAUCAGUCUUCUUAGAGCAACAUUUUUAUAGCCCUCCCUUCUGAUCAAGAUUUGUCUCUGGGGAUAGUAGGCAAACUCCCACUCCCUGGUAUGGCAUCAAUAACCCUACAUCACAUGUGGUUUUUAAAAUUGUAGUAAAACAUACAUAACAGAAAAGUUAACAUUUUAACAAUUUCUAAGUCUAUAAUUCAGUGGCAUUAAGUACAUUCACAAUAUUGUGGAACCAUCACCACUAUUCAUUUCCAGAACUUUUUCAUCAUGCCAAACAGAAACUCUGCACUCAUUAAACAAUAACUCCCCAUUCCUCCUCCUCUAUCCCCUGGUAACCUCUAUUCUUUCUGUGUCUAUGGAUUUGCCUAUCUAGGUACCUCAUAUAAAUGAAAUCAUACAAUAUUUGUCAUUUUGUGUCUGGCUUAUUUUAACUUACGUACUGUUUUUAAGGUUCAUUCAUGUAGCACAUAUCAGAAUUUCUUUUUUUCUUUUCUUUUUUUUUUUUUUCUUGCUCUGUUGCCCAGGCUGGAGUACAGUGGCAUGAUCAUGACUCACUGCAACCUCUGCCUCCUGGGCUCAGGUGAUCCUCCCACCUCAGCCUUCCGAGUAGCUGGGACCACAGGGACAACCACGUCCAGCUAAUUUUUGUAUUUUUUUUUUUUUUUACAGAUGAGGUUUCACCAUGAUGCCCAGGCAGAUCUUGAACUUCUGGGUUCAAGUGAUCCACCCACCUUGGCCUCCCAAGGUGCUAGGAUUACAGGUGUGAGCCAUCGCACCUGGCCCCAGAAUUUCAUUACUUGUUUAAAGCUGAAUAAUAUAAUAUUAUAUUAAUAAUAUUCCAUUGUAUAUACCACAUUUUGAUUAUCCAUUAAUCUGUCAAUGAACAUCUGGGUUGUUUCCACCUUUUGGCUGUUGUGAAUAGUGGUGCUAUGAACGUUGGUGUGCAAGUAUCUGUUUGAAUCUAUCCUUUCAAAUCUUUUUGAAGGGGAAUUGCUGGAUCAUACAGUAAUUUUAACUUUUGGAGAGGCCUGUCACAUGGUUUUGACAUACCUCCACCUUUGUUCUCACUUUUCUUUUUUGACGCCUCUUCUCAAGGUAGGCAGUUUCCUAGCACAGUCCCUGUGUGGACCCAAGCUGUAUCUCCCUGCAAGCUGAACACAAAAUGCUUCUCCUCUUCCCCACCACCAUGCCCUUCUCUAAGUAUCAACUCAAGCUCUUCCCCCUACUGAUAAUAAAUCCCAGCACCUGCAAUCUGGAAGUGAAAAAGUAAUUACAACGAUGUGCCUCAAGUCUUUGCUUUUUUCUCUUAACAAAGCAAAUGACAUCACAUUCUAAAAACGCUCUUUCCUUAUCACUCUCAGCUUCUUCCAUAUGGAUGGCACCAGCUCCCUAAGAAUCAAUCUUUCUCUCUUUUCUUGUUAAAUUCCAACCUCUUCAGCCUCAACACUCAGACUUUCUGUCUCUCUGCCUUGUCCACCAGGUAAAUCCUUCUUUAUAUGAUCAACUUACCCUCUUAGGUUUUCAAAGUUUUUGCAUUGUUUCCCCACUAUAUAAACUGUGCACAAUUGAGGACAUCUGGCUGCUGACACAAAGGAAAGUCACUCUAAAAGCUAGGGACAGGGGCUAAAUUGUGAAUGCUUAUGUAUUAAUAAUUUCCCCACUUCUAUAUUCACCUUGGAAAAGAUCACGACUUCUUUACAUUGUAAGAAUAUUUUCACCAGAUAAAUCUAAGCUAUUUGAGGGUAGAUUUGGGGUCUCUUACUGCUUUGCUUAGAACAUCUCAUUGUCAAUAGCACAAAUUCCUUGCCCUGGCAUUCCAGACUCCUCAUGCAUUCAUCUCGAUCUUCCUUUCCAGUAUUAUUCCCCCUACCAUCUCUCAUGCCCUUUGUGCCCCAAUGAAUAGGAACACCAACUAUUUCCCCAACUGUCCCCGAGUUUUCCUGUCAUCAUUUGCUCCUUCUUCCAUUUAUCCUGUUUACCCUCUUCUUGCACCUGUCCAGUUUCUGCCCAUCUCUCAAGUUCAAAGUCAAAUGCUGUUGUUUCCAUAAAAAUAGUUGUUGUGAAGAUUAAACAAUGUGUGCAAAAAGUUAGCAUAGUGACUAGUAUU
ensembl:lncRNA novel transcript